CAGUUUUCUCAACUUGCUAGGUAUCCGAGGGGGAAACACCAAGGGGGAAGUGAUGUUGAGAUGGAGAAGUGAUUCCACAGAUCAUAUCCACUACUCAAGUGUGAGGCCUUCCUAAGCAGAUAAUUUGGUGUGACUCUCAGAAAAAAAGACAUCUCUGGGGAUGGAGAUAGCCAUGUCUCACUUCUGUGUGAAGGCAGUUCUUAAACUUGUUUGGACCUUUGGCUUUCAGUGCCUACAGGUUUGGAACAGAGAGCAACUCCUGGAUUAUGGGCUUUCAUGGUCUUAAUGGCGUCAUCACUGCAAUUUAAGAAGGCAGCUUUUUUUUGCAUCUUUUCUCUAGAAAGUGGCCUCUCAAAGCUAUCCAAAGUGCCAUAUCUUCAAAGGUAAGGAAAAAUAAACUAAAAACAAAACAAACAAACAAAAAAAACCAAACAAACAGGAGAGUGGAAAGGAUGACAAAGAGGAACAGCUGUGAGACAUGAGAAAGAGGCACAAAAAGAAAUGAAGAAAAGCAAGGCAGAUAGGGAAGUGCAUAUGUAGAAGAAAAGACAGAAAGAAAUGAGAGAAGAAAGCUUCACAAAGAUGCUGAGAGAAACUAAACUGAGAAUAAACAAAGUGAUUCUGAGAAGAAGAAAGUGGGAAAAAGAGUAAAUUGGAGCAGUCACUGAAAAGUGACAUAAGAGAGCCACCUGAGCUCUUGCAGGACAGUGACGAAGAGAUCAGCCCGUUAGUGGCAGUCAGCACUAUACAUCAGGUGUGGUGGCAGCAUCCUAUCUUCUUCCAGGCACAUCCUUGGCCCUCAAUCCUUCCUCCCUAACUGACAUCUGAAAAAAUAAAAGGGUGCUCUCUGAAGUAAAGGGAUAAGUUAGUCCCUGCAGAGUUCAUUUCCUGUUUGUAAAUACCAUUCAUCACAGCAGGAAAGGUCUUCUGUCACCGGCAGGGUGAGAUAUCACUAAGGUCUGAGGACGCCACAACCUGCAUGGUGCUGCCCUCAGCAUAUCUUUUUGUCCUCGUUUUUCUGUUUCAUUGUGACUCUGUCAGUGGCAAUAUCUGUACAGCACAUAGGCUUUCGAAUGACGAGAAAAUGCUUGUUGGAGGCACAGAGAGUUCGUGCCACAUAACAGGAGCCACCUGAUGGAGCCAUCUGAACAGAGAGCUGCAGUGUGCCAACCUCAGAUGGUUAAUGGAGAAGAAUAGUGUCUACAGCAAGUACCUUUGCCUGCCCAGGACCUGACAGGUUUGAAACAAAAGGUCUCAAAUUAAAAAGGCUGAAUGUAUUGUUCAAAUAAGUCCAAA
rnacentral:lncRNA from 1 species